rnacentral:rRNA from 1 species
GACGAACGCUGGCGGCGUGCUUAACACAUGCAAGUCGAACGGAAAGGCCCUGCUUGCCGGGUACUCGAGUGGCGAACGGGUGAGUAACACGUGGGUGAUCUGCCCUGCACUUCGGGAUAAGCUUGGGAAACUGGGUCUAAUACCGGAUAGGAGCCAUCUUUAGUGUGGUGGUUGGAAAGUUUUUUCGGUGUAGGAUGAGCUCGCGGCCUAUCAGCUUGUUGGUGGGGUAAUGGCCUACCAAGGCGGCGACGGGUAGCCGGCCUGAGAGGGUGUACGGCCACAUUGGGACUGGGAUACGGCCCAGACUCCUACGGGAGGCAGCAGUGGGGAAUAUUGCACAAUGGGCGCAAGCCUGAUGCAGCGACGCCGCGUGGGGGAUGAAGGCAUUCGGGUUGUAAACUCCUUUCGCUAGGGACGAAGCUUUUUUGUGACGGUACCUAGAUAAGAAGCACCGGCUAACUACGUG